GAUGAAGAACGCAUCGAACUGCGAUAAGUAAUGUGAAUUGCAGAAUUCAGUGAAUCAUCGAGUCUUUGAACGCACAUUGCGCCCCCUGGCAUUCCGGGGGGCAUGCCUGUCCGAGCGUCAUUGCUGCCCUUCAAGCCCGGCUUGUGUGUUGGGUCGUCGUCCCCCCCGGGGGACGGGCCCGAAAGGCAGCGGCGGCACCGCGUCCGGUCCUCGAGCGUAUGGGGCUUUGUCACCCGCUCGAUUAGGGCCGGCCGGGCGCCAGCCGGCGUCUCCAACCUUCUAUUUUACCAGGUUGACCUCGGAUCAGGUAGGGAUACCCGCUGAACUUAAGCAUAUCAAUAAGCGGAGGA
rnacentral:misc_RNA from 1 species